rnacentral:rRNA from 1 species
AACGAACGCUGGCGGCAUGCCUAACACAUGCAAGUCGAGCGAGGACUUCGGGUCUAGUGGCGCACGGGUGCGUAACGCGUGGGAACCUGCCCUUCUGUUCGGAAUAACUCCCCGAAAGGGGUGCUAAUACCGGAUACUCUCUUCGGGCGAAAGAUUUAUCGCCGUUGGAUGGGCCCGCGUUGGAUUAGGUAGUUGGUAGGGUAAAAGCCUACCAAGCCGACGAUCCAUAGCUGGUCUGAGAGGAUGAUCAGCCACACUGGGACUGAGACACGGCCCAGACUCCUACGGGAGGCAGCAGUGGGGAAUAUUGGACAAUGGGGGCAAGCCUGAUCCAGCAAUGCCGCGUGAGUGAUGAAGGCCUUAGGGUUGUAAAGCUCUUUUAGCUGGGAUGAUAAUGACAGUACCGGGAGAAGAAGCCCCGGCUAACUCCGUG